GUCUAUGGCCAUGCCACCCGGAACAAGCCCGAUGUCUGAUCUCGGAAACUAAGCAAGGGCAAGACUGGUUAGUACUUGGAUGAGAGACUACCUAGGAAAACCAGGUGCUGUAGGCA
rnacentral:rRNA from 1 species